UCAGUCAUGUUUCUGGUGCUCAUCCCACUACUGGAGCUGAUUCUUGCCCUGAGAGGAGCUGGAGCCCAGUCAGUCACCCAGCCUGAUGGCCACAUCACUGUCUCUGAAGGAGACUCUCUGGAGCUCAAGUGCAAUUACUCUUCCUCUUAUUCAGUGUCUCUCUUCUGGUACGUGCAGUACCCCAGAGGAGGACUCCAGCUUCUGCUCAAGUACCUAUCAGGAGACCUGCUGGUUAAAGGCAUCAGAGGAUUUGAAGCUGAAUUUAAGAAGAGUGAAACUUCCUUCCACCUGAAGAAAUCCUCAGCCCAGCUGAGCGACCAGGCCCUGUACUUCUGUGCCAUCAGUGACACAGUGACUGGGACGGCAGGGGGAGCCGCACACAAACCUCUGACACCCCGCAGUCUUCUGUGUGUCAUCAACUCAGCCAGGAGAGAUUUCAAAGUGUCUUUUCCAGUUACAGCAAUAGGAGACAGAUGGUGGAUUGAGCCCCAGGGAGCAUUUUUCUUGUUUUUUUUUUUUUAAUUUUAUUUAUUUAUUCCCUUUUGUUGCCCUUGUUGUUUUUUUAUUGUUGUAGUUAUUAUUGUUGUUGUCGUUGUUGGAUAGGACAGAGAGAAAUGGAGAGAGGAGGGGAAGACAGAGAGGAGGAGAGAAAGAUAGACACCUGCAGAGCUGCUUCACCGCCUGUGAAGUGACUCCCCUGCAGGUGGGGAGCCGGGGUUCGAACCGGGAUCCUUAUGCCGGUCCUUGUGCUUUGCGCCACCUGCGCUUAACCCGCUGCGCUACAGCCCAACU